GAUGAGCUUGCGGCCCAUUAGCUUGUUGGUAGGGUAAUAGCCUACCAAGGCGACGAUGGGUAGCUGGUCUGAGAGGAUGAUCAGCCACACUGGCACUGAGACACGGGCCAGACUCCUACGGGAGGCAGCAGUGGGGAAUUUUGCGCAAUGGGCGAAAGCCUGACGCAGUAACGCCGCGUGGAGGAUGAAGGCCUUCGGGUUGUAAACUCCUGUCAGGGGGAACGACGGGGAAAGGGUGAUAAAGCCUUUCCUCCAGACGGUACCUCCAAAGGAAGCCCCGGCUAAUUCCGUGCCAGCAGCCGCGGUAAUACGGAAGGGGCGAGCGUUGUUCGGAAUCAUUGGGCGUAAAGGGCGCGUAGGUGGUUCUGUAUGUCUACCGUGAAAGCGUACGGCUUAACCGUAUUUUGUCGGUAGAAACUGCAGGACUUGAGGCUGGGAGGGGCUGGUGGAAUUCCCUGUGUAGCGGUGAAAUGCGUAGAGAUGGGGGAG
rnacentral:rRNA from 1 species